rnacentral:lncRNA from 1 species
GGGGGAGUUAGAGAUCCAGCCAGAUCAGAGGACACACAGCCCUGAGGGACAAGUGAUGAGUAGGGAGGAGUGAUGGGGUAAACUGGGAUACAGGUCACUGUGCGAUUGGUCCCAACGCCUCUGGUGGCCAUGAGGCUGUGAGGCUCAGCUGGAGGAGCACAGGGUCUCCAGGAGCACUUGGAGCUCGGCAUUGGCUUUGAGCUUCCAGAGGAAAGGGGAUGCAGGGAAGACUCUCCCACCAUGAACCAUAAAGGGUUAUUCAGCUAAG